AAGCUAAGGAUGCAGUGGUGAUGUAUCUCCUAUCCCCAACUGGGUUCCUGGACAUCCUGGGUUUUAAUUUUAAUCUUUCCACUACAAGUAGUCACACACACAGAGAGAGAGGCAGAGACACAGGCAGAGGGAGAAGCAGGCUCCAUACACCGGGAGCCCGACGUGGGAUUCGAUCCCGGGUCUCCAGGAUCGCGCCCUGGGCCAAAGGCAGGUGCUAAACCGCUGCGCCACCCAGGGAACCCAGGUCCUGGUGACUAAGUCCCCAUGGUCCACAUACAGCUGUGUUGGAAAUUAGCACUGCAGAGCCACUCGAGACCAGGAAUCAAAACAAGAAUUUAGUUGAGAUGAAAGGUUACGACCUUUAUCAGGAAACUGUGUCCUACCCUCACAAAGGAACAGCUGGGAUGAUCUACAGUAAGAGGUCUGUCUGGUAAUGAUAAUUAUUGAAUUACAGCUACCAGCAGCCAUCUAGAAUUCUGGCGGCACAGAUGAAGACCUACA